AUAUGUCUUCACUGAAGCUACCUACCCACCAUGUGUGCCAUCCCAUUGAAGAGGCACAGUUACGAUGUAAAGAAGACAAGGCCUUGGGUGGAUAAAUUGGAGAAUGAAUCAUUUUAUAAUUGCCUGGUUCUCUAUACUUUCUCUCUAGGUAUUUGCACAUGUCCAUUAUUGGAAAUGGGAAAGUAGGCAGGUGGGAGGAUAUCCAUCCUGGCCUAAUGCAGCCUGGUUUAUUUUAUAUUAUUAUCUGGGAUGAUAUGAGGAACUGUGGAUGAGGAAGGCUCUGCAAAGGGGUGUGAGUUUGCCUUUCCAUCUCCUGCCAAACGCAGCCUGCAGAUGCAUUGCUGAAAAAGGAACAUGAUGUAUGUAACAAUUAAAUACUCAACAGCCUCAUCAGAACCACAAGACACAAAGGCACUGGCAGGACUCAGAAGAUGGUAGCCUCCCUAGAGCACUUUGAAUAAGUUAUGGUUACCUGGAAAAAGUGGCAGCACAAACUUAAUCUGAAGUCAAGCACAAGAGGAAGUGGUGGGAAGAACAUGGUCCAUGCAGUCCAACGCUUUGCAGACAUGACAAGCUGUGUCCUGUUGGUGUCUUCCCGAAUCCCUCCCUACAUCAGCCAACACAAGGAGAGACAUCUCGAGAUGUGCUCUGGGAUGCAAGAUGCUGCCGCUCUGGAUGCAAAUUUCCCAGAAAUCACGCUCCUCCACUGGAUGUCUUCAACGAUCCUCCCUUCCCAGCCAUCGCUUUGCAGAGGGCAGGUCACAGAACCAGGGCAUAAAACGUCCCCUUCGUGCCCCUGCCUGAUGGCUGGGCUGAGCGUGGCCCCACCAAAGGCAGGAGCUGUGGCUGUGCGCAGGGGAGGCUCCGCAAAGCAGCCCCCUCAUUUUCUCCAGCACUCACAGGGCUCCAGUGAGUGA
rnacentral:lncRNA from 1 species